rnacentral:snoRNA from 1 species
GUUCCCUGUGAUGUUUAAUAUCAGACCAUGCUAAUGCUGAUCAAUUCAGUAAUUGAUUCUUUUCUCCAUUUAUUUUUUAGGGAAUU